GACGAACGCUGGCGGCGUGCUUAACACAUGCAAGUCGAACGGAAAGGCCCUGCUUUUGUGGGGUGCUCGAGUGGCGAACGGGUGAGUAACACGUGAGUAACCUGCCCUUGACUUUGGGAUAACUUCAGGAAACUGGGGCUAAUACCGGAUAGGAGCUCCUGCUGCAUGGUGGGGGUUGGAAAGUUUCGGCGGUUGGGGAUGGACUCGCGGCUUAUCAGCUUGUUGGUGGGGUAGUGGCUUACCAAGGCUUUGACGGGUAGCCGGCCUGAGAGGGUGACCGGCCACAUUGGGACUGAGAUACGGCCCAGACUCCUACGGGAGGCAGCAGUGGGGAGUAUUGCGCAAUGGGCGGAAGCCUGAGGCAGCAACGCCGCGUGCGGGAUGACGGCCUUCGGGUUGUAAACCGCUUUCGCCUGUGACGAAGCGUGAGUGACGGUAAUGGGUAAAGAAGCACCGGCUAACUACGUG
rnacentral:rRNA from 1 species